rnacentral:rRNA from 1 species
GACGAACGCUGGCGGCGUGCUUAACACAUGCAAGUCGAACGGAAAGGCCCUGCUUUUGUGGGGUGCUCGAGUGGCGAACGGGUGAGUAACACGUGAGUAACCUGCCCUUGACUAUGGGAUAACUUCAGGAAACUGGGGCUAAUACCGGAUAGGAGCUCCUGCUGCAUGGUGGGGGUUGGAAAGUUUCGGCGGUUGGGGAUGGACUCGCGGCUUAUCAGCUUGUUGGUGGGGUAGUGGCUUACCAAGGCUUUGACGGGUAGCCGGCCUGAGAGGGUGACCGGGCACAUUGGGACUGAGAUACGGCCCAGACUCCUACGGGAGGCAGCAGUGGGGAAUAUUGCACAAUGGGCGGAAGCCUGAUGCAGCAACGCCGCGUGCGGGAUGACGGCCUUCGGGUUGUAAACCGCUUUCGCCUGUGACGAAGCGUGAGUGACGGUAAUGGGUAAAGAAGCACCGGCUAACUACGUG